AUGCCCAGUGAUUAUAAAAAGACGCGUUAUUCUGAGGAAUACAACCUGCUACCAGUCUUUCUCCUACUCUUUACUCUGUCUUUAAUCUCCUCCAUCUUUCCUAUCCAUCCUCCACUUCUUCUCCCCUUCCUUUACUUCCUUCAAACUGGUAGCUGGUCCGCUGACUGCGAUUAUGAGACAUGAGGGCAU